AAAUCGAUUUUCUUAGCUACAUUUGUAAACAAUGAGAAUAAGCAGUGCACAAUGAUUUCAUAAGCAAAGCAUAACUCAAUGAUGCUGUGAUUGAAAACAAAUAAACUAGCAAGAGACACACCAACCAGAAUUUGGCAUUAACAUCCUAGAAUCCGUCAGUAUGGAUUACAUAAACUGAUAAACAACACAGAUAAGAUAGGAAGAGACAGAACUCAAGUUUGGAGAAAAGUAAACGCACCCCAUAAAAUCCGCAAAAUCUAUCAUAUCCUCAUUGAUAUAUAUAUCAUCUCUUGGUUAAAGAAGGAAAAAAAAUUAACUCCAAUCUUGAAUACCAUAUCUAUCAACUUCAUUGUUCUGAUCUUUACAACCUGAUUCCCCAUGUACAUUUGUAUCUGCAAAAUUCACAGUAUCAGAAUCAGUUUAGUUACCACUAUACAUCAACUUUUCCUGCCUUGUGCGGCCUACCAGUCCAACUAUGGCUCUCCGAUUUGUCAUCAUCUUCCGCUUCCAUGCUAUCGCCUCCAGUGCUAGAGAUACCUUUGGCAGACCCACAUCCAUGGAAGGGUCCUUGCGGAGAAUUAGACUCUGAAAUGCUAGGUUUUGAUGGAUCUUUGCACUGAUCUUGAGCCAUCCAUAAGCCAUUUGCUUGGGCAGCUGAAGAAGCAGGAAGUUUACG
rnacentral:misc_RNA from 1 species